rnacentral:rRNA from 1 species
UAUCUGGCCUGCAUUCAGCCGCGACCCGCUGGCGUCAGGGAUGCCGCUCUCCAGAUUGGGACGGUGGUCUGACUGCUCGGUGGGUUCCGUGGUGCAUUUGCAGGUGGAGUGCGCCGAGGCGCUCGGUGCAGCGGCAUGAACUUGGCUUUUAGGCCAGCCUUCGCAAGAGGUCUGGUACCCGGGCCAGGGGAGUGCUGUUUGCGCUGGGCGCAGCAAAGGGCAAUGGUCUCGGGCUCGUGUGGGUGCCGAGCUGGCGGUCGGCGUCGGUCGCGUGCGACACGUGCCANCAGUCAGUUCGGUCCUGCUCGAGCUCACAUCUGCUCGACCUCGGUGUAAAAGCCGGUCAUCUGUCCGACCCGUCUUGAAACACGGACCAAGGAGUUUAGCGUGUGCGCGAGUCAUUGGGCGUUGAAAACCCAAAGGCGCAAUGAAAGUGAAUGCCUCCCUUGCGGAGCUGAUGUGUGAUCCUGGAUGCUUCGGCAUGCCGGGCGCAACAUAGUCCCGUCCCGAUUGCUUGCAAUGGGGCGGAGACAGAGCGUACGCGCUGAG